ACCUCAUCGUCGACAUUAUAUCAUGCUAGCGCAUCAUCAUAGAGUUCAGUACUGUUUAAUCUGUUGAGAUAAAUGUCAUGUUGGUAUGAUCACUAGUUCCUACAUGCGAAGUUGGUACGACUUCUAACGACGCCCUUUUGUUUUGGCUUCUGCCACGUGUUAAUUAUCUGAGAGUAUCCGGUGUAUUCAUAUGGCUGUACAUGGUGGUGAAAUACAGAAUAUAAAAACUGAAUCUGUGUGAAUCAAUUAAAUAUCGAACUCCAAAACCUAUUUAAUAACAGGGGUAGUGCAGUAACCGAAAUGGAAAUUAUUCUACAUGCAAAAGCUGUACUAAUUUCGUGUGAGUAAUUUAGAAAUAUAUGAGGUCUUGCAAAUCAAAUAAUUUGAUGUAGGAAAUUCUUAAUUUUCAUAAAAUAGUUCUGAACUGCUAUGACUGCGUGGAAACGAAGAAGUUCGGAAAUAAAAUAUAGAGAAAUUUGAAGAGUUCUCGUUGCCAGAAAUUUAAGGUAAAUGGAUUUUGUGAUAUUCAGGCAAACUGACUCCCGAGUAAGAUAAAACUUCAUAAAUUCUUUCCUAUGGUGCUUUGCUGAGACCUUUGGAUUUUAACUCGUAAACAAGUUCGCUUAAUGUGCGAUUUAUAAAUAUUUACAUAGAACUGUCCGGUCAAUAAGGUUGUUUUCUUCCUGAAAGUACAAACUGGCACGGUCGAAUUACAAUUAAAUUCUUUGGCAAGUUCUAAUGAACACUUGUGUAAAUUUUUACGAAAGUUAGCAUGUAUCUGUUACUUGGAUUUCCUUGUAAGAUAUUUCUAGGCGAGGCAUCUGAAAUUCGUACACACUUGGCCGGAUACCUCGCGUGCUAACGUCGAAAAACUUACACACGCGAGGUUUUUGAAUAAUUUUUAUCGAAUUCAUUUUCUUUGAAGAUUCUUCACCGGUACAACAUUUUGGACCGACAUUUAUAUUUGAUAAAAUAUUACCAACGCAAUGGUUUCUGGAACACGUUUAUAAUUGUCUUCUACUCGUACACCUGUAUGUUUGGUGCUUAGAAGGAGGAAUUUUAUAUUAGGUUUACUUUUAUACACAGUAAGCGUGUAGUUUUCUAAUUUAUAUAAAUAACAAUGUCAUCUUGUCCUCUUUUCCCUCGAGCAUCGAGUUUCAUUUUUCCCCAUAUAAGGGAAACCAUUCAAAAUAUAUUUUGUUUGGACGUCAACUGCUAACGAAAACUUAAUGCCCAAUUUAUAAGGCUUAUUCGGCAUAUAUUGCGUAAACCUUUUUUUUUCCUCGAGGAGAGGAAAAUGCUAUUACGCAUACCCAGUAACUGAAUAUGUUGGACUCGGCGGAUGGAAUCGCUAUACCCACUA